rnacentral:rRNA from 1 species
AAUCGUGAUUUCUGCCCAGUGCUCUGAAUGUCAAUGUGAAGAGAUUCAAUCUAGCACGGGUAAACGGCGGGAGUAACUAUGACUCUCUUAAGGUAGCCAAAUGCCUCGUCAUCAACUAUUAAAUUAGGUGACUAAAAGUCAGCUGCCACAUUAUGAUUCAUAGGCAAAUGUGGGUAAACAGUAUCUGGCUAGUCAAAAAAUAAAUUUAUAUUUAUUUUUUGGCCACAUGUUCAAAUUGCGGGAACAUCCUAAAGCUUAAUUCUACCAAACAUAACUUGAAAAAGAUUAUGUGGACGGGGUAAUGACCUUGUGUAUGGUAAAAACGAAUUAAGAUAUUACAAUGGGCAAUCCGCAGCCAAUCCCUAAGUAUUUUUUUUUUAAUUAAAAAAAUAUAUGGGUAGGGUUCAGAGACUAAAUGGAUAUGGGGAAUAAUUAAAAAAAAUAAUUAUUUCUUAAGAUAUAGUCCACUCCAUUAUGAAAAUAAUGGUAUAAAGUGCUAAUUAGUGACGCGCAUGAAUGGAUAAAUGAGAUUCCCACUGUCCCUAACUACGUUGCAGCGAAACCACAGCCAGGGGAACGGGCCUGGCCAUUACAGCGGGGAAAGAAGACCCUGUUGAGCUUGACUCUAGUCUGAUAUUGCGUAGUGACCCGGGAGGUGUAGAAUAGGUGGGAGAGGUAACUCGACGGUGAAAUACCACCCCUACUGGCGUUGCUGCGCUAACUUAGAAUUAACAUCACUUACUUUAAAGCAAUUUUUAGUGAGAUUAUAGCCACCAAAUUCGUAAAUCAACGGUCGAGGCAGGAAGUACUUGUAUUUUUUGUAGUAGAUCCACUAGAUCCGAAUAAGUUGUCGACUAAGGACAUUUUCAGGUGGGGAGUUUGGCUGGGGCGGCACGCGGCUUAAAAAAUAACGGCCACGACCAAAGGCAGGCUCAGUGGGAACAGAAAUCUCACGUAGAGCUAAAGGGCAAAAGCCUGCUUUAUUCUGACUUUCAGUAAUAGUCGGAAAGACGAAAGUCUGGCCUAUCGAUCCUUUAAAACUUUUGUCUUAAGUUUAGAGGUGUCAGAAAAGUUACCACAGGGAUAACUGGCUUGUGGCAACCAAGCGUUCAUAGCGACGUGGC